rnacentral:rRNA from 1 species
GAGCCGUAGGGAAACCGAGUCUUAACCGGGCGUUAAGUUGCAGGGUAUAGACCCGAAACCCGGUGAUCUAGCCAUGGGCAGGUUGAAGGUUGGGUAACACUAACUGGAGGACCGAACCGACUAAUGUUGAAAAAUUAGCGGAUGACCUGUGGCUGGGGGUGAAAGGCCAAUCAAACCGGGAGAUAGCUGGUUCUCCCCGAAAGCUAUUUAGGUAGCGCCUCGUGAAUUCAUCUCCGGGGGUAGAGCACUGUUUCGGCUAGGGGGCCAUCCCGGCUUACCAACCCGAUGCAAACUGCGAAUACCGGAGAAUGUUAUCACGGGAGACACACGGCGGGUGCUAACGUCCGUCGUGAAGAGGGAAACAACCCAGACCGCCAGCUAAGGUCCCAAAGUCAUGGUUAAGUGGGAAACGAUGUGGGAAGGCCCAGACAGCCAGGAUGUUGGCUUAGAAGCAGCCAUCAUUUAAAGAAAGCGUAAUAGCUCACUGGUCGAGUCGGCCUGCGCGGAAGAUGUAACGGGGCUAAACCAUGCACCGAAGCUGCGGCAGCGAACGUAUCACCCAAGACAACUUUACGGAGUUGACGAUUGACGGAGCGAAGCGACGUCAAAGCGUUCAUUAAAGUCGAGUUGGCUUAGGGAUACGUUCGUUGGGUAGGGGAGCGUUCUGUAAGCCUGUGAAGGUGUGUCGUGAGGCAUGCUGGAGGUAUCAGAAGUGCGAAUGCUGACAUAAGUAACGAUAAAGCGGGUGAAAAGCCCGCUCGCCGGAAGACCAAGGGUUCCUGUCCAACGUUAAUCGGGGCAGGGUGAGUCGACCCCUAAGGCGAGGCCGAAAGGCGUAGUCGAUGGGAAACGGGUUAAUAUUCCCGUACUUGGUGUUACUGCGAAGGGGGGACGGAGAAGGCUAUGUUGGCCGGGCGACGGUUGUCCCGGUUUAAGCGUGUAGGUGUGUGUUCCAGGUAAAUCCGGUUCACUUUAACACUGAGGCGUGACGACGAGGCACUACGGUGCUGAAGCAACAAAUGCCCUGCUUCCAGGAAAA